rnacentral:misc_RNA from 1 species
ACGAGUUGCAAAACUCCCAAACCAUUGUGAACCUUACCUAUACCGUUUCUUCGGCGGGCGGCGUCACGCCCUAACCUGCCCCCCUCACGGGGGGCGGACCCGCCGGAGGCCCCUAAACUCUUAUCUUUAGUUGGCAUCUCUGAGUACACUUUUAAAUAAGUUA